CGCACAUUGUUGACGCACUUGCGCGGCCUUGCCCUUUCUGAUGCGGUGCAAUGAAUUAGCUGGCCGGGGUGAUGUGAAUUGGGAUACAAUGCACCCCGGCGGGCCCCUGCGCAUUGUGGCAUGGUCAACCUGGUCAGGUCGGGAACGAAGCAGCCACAGCUAUUUCCCACAAGUGCCGCAGACAAGGCUCGCCUCUUGAUUUCACCUCGGCCGUUAUGUUCG
rnacentral:SRP_RNA from 1 species